rnacentral:tRNA from 1 species
UUCCCAACCCAGGGAUCAAACCCAGGUCUCCCGCAUUGCAGGCAGAUUCUUUACCAGCUGAGCCACAAGGGA